rnacentral:rRNA from 1 species
AUUGAACGCUGGCGGAAUGCUUUACACAUGCAAGUCGAACGGUAGAGGGGGCAACCCCUUGAGAGUGGCGAACGGGUGAGUAAUAUAUCGGAACGUGCCCAGUCGUGGGGAUAACGUAGCGAAAGUUACGCUAAUACCGCAUACGAUCUAAGGAUGAAAGCGGGGGAUCGCAAGACCUCGCGCGAUUGGAGCGGCCGAUAUCAGAUUAGGUAGUUGGUGAGGUAAAGGCUCACCAAGCCAACGAUCUGUAGCUGGUCUGAGAGGACGACCAGCCACACUGGAACUGAGACACGGUCCAGACUCCUACGGGAGGCAGCAGUGGGGAAUUUUGGACAAUGGACGCAAGUCUGAUCCAGCCAUUCCGCGUGCAGGAUGAAGGCCCUCGGGUUGUAAACUGCUUUUGUACGGAACGAAAAGGUUUGUCUUAAUACGAUGAGCUCAUGACGGUACCGUAAGAAUAAGCACCGGCUAACUACGUGCCAGCAGCCGCGGU